CCCGGGCGGGGCAGCACCGGCGGCAACGGGGAGCGCGGCGCGCGCGCCUCGAACGAAGGGAGCGCGGCUCGCGGAAAGGCUCCCGGGGACGGCCUCGGGCGCGACGGGCCACCAGGAAAACACACGCGGGAUCCCACCGCCAACGACACGCGAGGGCGGUCCCACGACGCCUGGGACGCCGGACGGCCUCAGCCACCCUUCGGCCUCCCGCGGGCCCGGCCCCACCGCCGGGGCCUACGUGAGGCGCCCCCGCCGCCGGGGGCCGCCCCGUCCACCCAGCCACCCGUCUGCCUGUCUGGUCUGCUCCGGGGCCCACGUCCCGAGGGAACGCGCCCGAGAGCGGCGGCGGCCCCCACCCAUGCCUGCACGCCACCACCGGCUGCGGCUCGGGACGGGAGCGAGCGGAGAGCCAGCCGCUCGCGGCAGGGUGGAGCCCGGACAGGGCCGGGCCCUCUCCCCGCCCCAGCGCGCGAUGGGAGAACCACGAGCAUGCUCGCGCACACGCGCGGCCCCGCGCCCGACGACGGCCCGGCCAGGCGUGACCCUCCCCCGACUCGGAGGGGGGAGGCGCCGGCCGCGGUAGGCAAAGAGCGGCUCUGCCCACGCGCCACGGUGGUGGCGUCCGUGGCUACUACGCGCAGAGGAGGGGCGGCGGCUGGGGGGUCCGGUACCCCAAGGCACCCUCUCGGAUCGCUAGAGAAGGCUUUCUCACCGAGGGCGUGUCGCCCCCGCCCAUCGUCCGCCAUCGGGCCCACCAAGGCGCUUACAGACACCAUGGCCACACAACGCAGGAGGGGUCUGCGGUAGAGACACACCAGCGCAGCGGUCACCUGAGGAGGGCGACGGGAACAGGGAACGACACCGCCACUCGGCCUCGGGCACCUGAGGGACGACCUGGAACACUCCAGGGGCACCGCCAACGGCCGGGGGAGCGCGCUCACGCGCCCAAGAAGGCGCGCGGCACGGCGGCAACACGGCCCGCCCCACCGUGGGGAGGGCCGCCCGCGAGACACAGCCAAGAGGCACAGGCGGAGCAUCCGCCGCGUCACGGAGACCCCGACACCGCCCACGCCACAAGGCACGGGGCGGGGGAGCGAGGUCGGGCCGGAUUCCGCACCCCUGCCACCUCCCACACGCCACUCGCAGCGGGAGAGAACGGGCGAGGGGGCCCGCGGGCAGAGCGAGAAGAGCGGUCCCGUUCGCCAUGAACGUCCGUCCCUCGUCUGGCACGGCUUAGGCCCGGCCCAGGAGAGCACAGCAUCACCACAUCGAUCAGCAGCAUAACGCGAGGGAUCCCCGAGCAAGGGAAGGCCGGCGAGGACAGCGAGCGGAGGAGCCUGCUUCAGCCUCACCGGCCCCCCUCCUCCUCCAGCAAGCGCGGGCGACGACCCCAGGACGAGAACGCCUGACACGCACUGGCACGGAGCCGGUGGG
ensembl:lncRNA